AUUUUUUUUCACACACAACCACAGUACUCCCCGAUUUCCUCACCACCGUCGUUACUUAACGCCGCCUGGCACCGUUGGCAUUCAACGUUUCUCUUCCUCGCCUAAUUCCAUUAAGAUUCUUGUCUAAGAGAGUAGGAGCAAAAUGGGUUGGAAAGCUGCUGAGAAACUUAUCAGACACUGGAAGAUACUCCUAGGGGAUAAUGUGAUGAUAAUUCGUGGGAAAGAUAAGGGUGAGACUGGAACCAUAAAACGUGUCAUCCGAUCUCAAAAUCGUGUUAUUGUUGAAGGGAAGAAUCUGAUCAAGAAGCAUAUAAAGGGAGGCCCUGAUCACGAAGGUGGAAUUUUCACGGUAGAGGCUCCUCUUCAUGCCUCAAAUGUUCAAGUUGUUGAUCCAGUCACUGGGAGGCCUUGUAAGGUUGGUGUAAAAUACCUAGAAGAUGGAACAAAAGUAAGAGUAGCUAGAGGUACAGGCACAUCUGGUUCGAUAAUUCCUCGACCAGAGAUUCUAAAGAUAAGGGCUACACCAAGACCCACCACCGCUGGCCCUAAGGACACUCCAAUGGAGUAUGUUUGGGAGCAGACAUAUGAUGCUAAAACAGGAAAGGGCAUGCCUGAUCUUUAAGUAGACCUCUUUACAGUUUCAUUCCAAAAAUGUUGCUGCUCCCCAAAAGAUUCCUCUUUUCUCAUUAGUUCAUUGUCAAGAGCUAUGAAGCGACGUUUUGUUAAAGAACCCUUGAUCCUGACUGAAACGACGUAGUCGUUUUCGUUAUUUUCAUUGAUCUUGUGAACUUUUCAAGGGGCCAAAUAAAAACCAUUGGGAAAAUUUUCAA